UGCCUGGCGCCACUAGCGCGGUGGUCCCACCUGACCCCAUGCCGAACUCAGAAGUGAAACGCCGUAGCGCCGAUGGUAGUGUGGGGUCUCCCCAUGUGAGAGUAGGGAACUGCCAGGCAU
rnacentral:rRNA from 1 species